CCACUUCACAUUCACAAUUGCCGCGCUAUAUCAGCUCUCGCCGGUUUCGGCCGGCUAUGGCGAUAAAUUGCUGCGUGCAAUAGAUGCAACGGACCCGGGGGCAGUACCCGGCGGCUCCACCAGAAGCGGCGGCCUGCGCUAAGGCCGGUCGCAACUCCUGAUGGGGCCGAACCAGGAUCGACGUGUGUUGAAAAGCGUAGUUUUUGCCCGGGCUGAGUAACCCGCAUAAGGCUCAAAAACCAUAAGUGCCAACGACAACGAAGCACUUGCUCUCGCUGCGUAAUGCGACGGCCUAACGGCCUGAAUUUACAAAGCUUAGAGCACGGUUCGGACCGAACCGGGUAACAGAAUCGGAAACC
rfam:Porphyrobacter sp. LM 6, complete genome.